GGGAGCGUAGCUCAGUGGUAGAGCAUCUCAUUUGCAAUGAAGCUUCUAGCUUCAAUACAACCUUGAGAAGGUCUGGGGUUCAAUCCCCCACGCUUCCA
rnacentral:tRNA from 1 species